rnacentral:rRNA from 1 species
GACAGAGGGUGCAAACGUUGCUCGGAAUUACUGGGCGUAAAGCGCGUGUAGGCGGACCAACAAGUCAGGCGUGAAAUCCCUGGGCUCAACCCAGGAACUGCACCUGAAACUGUUGGUCUUGAGUGGUGGAGAGGGAAGCAGAAUUCCUGGUGUAGAGGUGAAAUUCGUAGAUAUCAGGAGGAACACCGGUGGCGAAGGCGGCUUCCUGGACACUAACUGGCGCUGAGACGCGAAAGCGUGGGGAGCAAACAGG